UGGGGGAUAACGUUUCGAAAGGAGCGCUAAUACCGCAUACGUCCUACGGGAGAAAGCAGGGGACCUUCGGGCCUUGCGCUAUCAGAUGAGCCUAGGUCGGAUUAGCUAGUUGGUGAGGUAAUGGCUCACCAAGGCUACGAUCCGUAACUGGUCUGAGAGGAUGAUCAGUCACACUGGAACUGAGACACGGUCCAGACUCCUACGGGAGGCAGCAGUGGGGAAUAUUGGACAAUGGGCGAAAGCCUGAUCCAGCCAUGCCGCGUGUGUGAAGAAGGUCUUCGGAUUGUAAAGCACUUUAAGUUGGGAGGAAGGGCAGUAAGCUAAUAUCUUGCUGUUUUGACGUUACCGACAGAAUAAGCACCGGCUAACUCUGUGCCAGCAGCCGCGGUAAUACAGAGGGUGCAAGCGUUAAUCGGAAUUACUGGGCGUAAAGCGCGCGUAGGUGGUUUGUUAAGUUGGAUGUGAAAGCCCCGGGCUCAACCUGGGAACUGCAUCCAAAACUGGCAAGCUAGAGUAUGGUAGAGGGUGGUGGAAUUUCCUGUGUAGCGGUGAAAUGCGUA
rnacentral:rRNA from 1 species